CACGUGAGGGACCGCGGUGGGAGUCCUAAAUGGGGGAGGAGGGGACGGGCGGCACUGUGCAUCUGCUGUGCCUCGCGGCCUCCAGCGGGGUCCCCCUAUUCUGCAGGAGCAGUCGCGGCGGCGCCCCCGCCCGUCAGCAGCUCCCGUUCUCUGUCAUCGGUUCCCUCAAUGGAGUCCACAUGUUUGGGCAGAAUCUGGAGGUGCAGCUGAGCUCUGCGAGGACCGAGAACACGACUGUGGUGUGGAAAAGCUUCCAUGACAGCAUCACCCUCAUUGUUCUGUCAUCUGAGGUGGGCAUCUCUGAGCUGAGGCUGGAGAGACUACUCCAAAUGGUGUUUGGAGCCAUGGUCCUUCUUGUGGGACUUGAAGAACUGACCAAUAUCCGCAACGUGGAGAGACUGAAGAAGGACUUGAGGGCCAGUUAUUGCCUCAUCGACAGCUUCCUGGGGGACUCGGAGCUCAUUGGGGACCUGACCCAGUGUGUGGACUGCGUGAUUCCUCCAGAGGGGUCCCUCUUGCAGGAAGCCCUCUCCGGGUUCGCUGAGGCCGCGGGCACGACCUUCGUCAGUCUGGUGGUGUCGGGCCGGGUGGUGGCAGCAACAGAGGGUUGGUGGCGGCUGGGGACGCCCGAGGCCGUGCUGCUCCCCUGGCUGGUGGGGUCCCUGCCGCCGCAGACCGCUCGCGACUACCCGGUGUACCUGCCGCACGGGAGCCCCACGGUCCCACACCGGCUCCUGACCCUGACUCUGCUGCCGAGCCUGGAGCUGUGUCUACUCUGCGGGCCGAGCCCACCCCUCAGCCAGUUGUAUCCACAGCUUCUGGAGCGCUGGUGGCAGCCACUGCUGGACCCGUUGCGGGCCUGUCUGCCGUUGGGACCCCGGGCGCUGCCCAGUGGCUUCCCCCUUCACACAGACAUCCUCGGGCUGCUGCUCCUCCACCUGGAACUGAAACGCUGCCUCUUCACCGUGGAGCCCUUGGGGGAUAAAGAGCCUUCACCAGAACAGCGCCGGCGCCUCCUCCGAAACUUCUAUACCCUGGUCACCUCCACGCACUUCCCACCAGUGGGGCGGGCGGGCUCCUGGACAAGGCUACUGGAGCGCCUGUGUUGCUGCCGUGUUCGCCAUGUGUAUUGCUAAGAGGAUCACCUGCAGCUGCACAGUUUCCCCAGGAAAAUGGGGGCCAAGGCUGAGAAAGAGGAAGAGGAGCCAGGGCCACCAGAGAAGACAGAAGAUGAGGUCUACCAGGCCCAGCUGCCCAGAGCUUGCUACCUGGUGUUGGGGACUGAGGAACCAGGCACAGGAGUGCGUCUGGUGGCCUUGCAGCUGGGGCUUCGGCGGCUGCUGCUGCUGCUGUCUCCCCAGAGUCCCACCCAUGGGCUGCGAAGCCUGGCCACCCACACUCUGCAUGCCCUCACCCCACUUCUUUGACUACCUAGCAGUGGGUGAUGGACACAGACAUGGGGCCGUUAGCGUCUCUCUGUUUAUUCGCUCACAAUAAUACACAGCCCCUGGAUGGGGAGGGGGUAGGAGGGGCUACAACAGGGUGGGGUGGGAGGGGAGGAGACAUCCACUUCCCUGGCCCCUCUCCCCUCUGUGCUUGGGGGGGAAAGGGAGGGAGGGGGCUCCCCCUAACCCCCCAGAAUGUAAACAGCAGCAGAUGAACAAAAAUAAAAAUACAAAAGGCCGGAGGAAAGUCCCAGGCAUCCCCCAA